CUUGAAUCUCAAUGCAAGUGUUGUCAUUGUCAUUUCAGGUGAGAUAAAGAUUACAGUUCUGAGGGAGAUGAAAUCACAGAGCUGUGAACCUCUAUCUCAAGGUUAAUCUCCCUCUCUCUCCCACAAUGCUGGCUGUCAUGCCAGGAUCUGCACACACAGGAGCUGAAUGUUCUGCUGAAGAAAGGAUCGAGAAUUGCAUAUAUGUCCUGGACAAAACCUGCAUUGCUCCUAAAAAUCAGUGAUGUGAUGACUGAAGAGGUUGUUCUCCAUCAUGAACUCAUAAACACAUGUUGAAGAAAAGGUGACAUUGUUAUGACAUCCCAUGGCAGACUCUUCUGCAGCAUGCUCCUAACCAUAUGCCCAACCACCUCGGCAAGCCAAGAAUUAUAGGAAUGCUACAGAUAACAGGAGCUUUUGGAUGGAAUCAGUUCUUCAAUGAUAUUGGAUGCAAUCUUAUUUUAUAUAUUCUCAGACUUGGCAGGAGUAUGUCUAUCUACACCACCUGUCUUGUGAGUGUCUUCCAGGCUAUCACCAUCAGCCCCUGGAAAUCCUAUUGGAAGGAUCUCAUAGUCAAAAUUCGAAGGCUCAUGGGUUUCUUCAUUUCACUCUGCUGGAUCCUACACAUGAUGGUGAAUAUGAUUUUUUCCUAUAUAUCCAUCCACCAAGGGAAAGACAAAAAAUAUUACACAAAAAAGAAAAUAUGAAUUCUGUUCCUCUUUUCCAGGUCGUGAUAAUAUAGUAGAAUCACUAUACAUAGCAUUUUGGGUAUUUCCAGAAGUCUUGCUUUCUGUAGUUCUGGUCAUUUCCAGCAUCACCAUGAUUGUCAUACUGUAUGGACACAAGAAAAUGGUUCAACAUAUACACAGUUCUCAUGUUUCUCCCAGAAACUCUCCUGAGUCCAGAGCCACCCAGAAAAUUCUAGUCCUGGUGUGCACAUUUCUCACUUUUUAUACACUAUCUUCCAUCUUACAAGGCUUCAUUACCUUUUCUCAGAAUCCUAGUUGGUGGCUAAUUAAUAUCACAGCUAUCAUUUCUAUGUGCUUUCCUACUGUAGGUCCCUUUAUCAUGAGCCAUGAUAUCAUUCUUUCUCGUUUCUGUUUAUCUUAGAUGAGGAAUAUAUACUUACAAUAAUCUUUUAAUAAAAGUACAAAUUAUAUCUUUUAAUAAUUCAGAGUAUCUAAGAAUUUAGUCACUAGUGUCCUUCAAAAUAUCAGUGUAAUAAUUAAAGGGGAGAUGAUUUUAAUACUAUGAUCAUUUCACAGAUUAAUAGUAGUAUAUUAUUCUUUAUAGACUAUGGUCUAUCUAGCCACAGGUUCUGAACCACAUUCACUGUGCUAGUCAUAGACUCCAUUUCAUUGAGUAUUCCUUUAAGCAUAUCAUAAUUAGUUUGGUUAUUUCUGCCAUAUUUGUGCCACUGUUGAAUAAAUGGGCCUAUCUUGCCAGGCCAAGAGUUUUUUUUAGCUCAUAGGGUUCAUGGCUGGAUGAUAUCUAUUCACUUUUUCUCCAGUAAAGAGGAUGCUACCUUCUAGCAUGAAGAAAGCUAACCAAGAUAGGUACAGCUUACAAGUCAGUACAUGUUUGAUUUCUUCAUGUUUUAUGACUCAAGGAUUUUGCAGUUACAAAAAUGUACUCAUAGUUAUUUGUGAUGGCGUGCACAAUAAACUGUGCAAGUUGAAAUCAAAUAAUAUCCUAGCACUGGAGAUAAGGAGGAGAAAAACAUGAAGUGCUAGCACUAAAUGAAAUACUGUUGGCCUUUGAUGGCAGCUGAGAAAGAGAAAGAGUUGGUUUGUUUAACAGUGUAGACACAGGUAGGCUGAGCAUAUUCAUGGUCAGCAAUACAACCAAGAGUACUUGGGCAACACAAAUUGAACUUAAUAAGUUUAAAAAUAAAAGAAUUUAAAAGUUUGAGGUAGGGAUGUGGUGGUAGUUCUGAAAGAAUUUUAGGGGGGGUGUUGAAUAUGAUGAAGAUAUAUUCUAUGAAAUUUGUAAUAACUGAUAAAAAUGUAAAAAGUUUGUGGAAAGCUACUUGUCUUUCUUUUUUUUUCCCCCUUUUUCUUUUCCAUUUUUUAUUAGGUAUUUAGGUCAUUUACAUUUCCAGUGCUAUACCAAAAGUCCCCCGUAGCCACCCACCCCCACUCCCCUACCCACCCAAUCCCCCUUUUUGGCCCUGGCGUUCCCCUGUACUGGGGCAUUAAAGUUUGCAAGUCCAAUGGGCCUCUCUUUCCAGUGAUGGCCGACUAGGCCAUCUUUUGAUACAUAUGCAGCUAGAGUCAAGAGCUCCGGGGUACUGGUUAGUUCAUAAUGUUGUUCCACCUAUAGGGUUGCAGAUCCCUUUAGCUCCUUGGGUACUUUCUCUAGCUCCUCCAUUGGGAGCCCUGUGAUCCAUCCAUUAGCUGACUGUGAGCAUCCACUUCUGUGUUUGCUAGGCCCCAGCAUAGUCUCACAAGAGACAGCUACAUCUGGGUCCUUUCGAUAAAAUCUUGCUAGUGUAUGCAAUGGUGUCAGCGUUUGGAUGCUGAUUAUGGGGUGGAUCCCUGGAUAUGGCAGUCUCUAGAUGGUCCAUCCUUUCAUCUCAGCUCCAAACUUUGUCUCUGUAACUCCUUCCAAGGGUGUUUUGUUCCCACUUCUAAGGAGGGGCAUAAUGUCCACACUUCUAAUGCAAACUCUAAAACAGUUUUGGGUUUUCACCUGGCACCUAUAGGAGCAAAAUAAAGGUUAAUGUAGCAGGGUGUUUUACUCUGAAUAACUAAGCAAUAACUUGUUCAAAGGAAUCUGAAGUAGUGUUCCUUAUGGUUAAGAAAACGUGGUAGAUCUCAAUUCCUUAAAGAAACUAAAAAACAAGAUAUCCAAGAAGAUAGGAAUGAGGAUACUGGUGUCUGUAAAUAAAACAAAUGCAAGAACACUUCAAAAAAAAAAGGAGGGGAAAGGGAGAGAGAUAAACAGAAAGAGAGACAAACAGACAGACAGACAGACAGACAAAGAGACAGAAAGACAGAGACAGAGAGAUAAUAUCUCAACACAUACUGCGUGAAGAAAUUGAAUAUAUAAAAAGAAACAGGUUCCAGGGAAACAACUCUCUGUAGAAAUUUUGAUGAUGUGGUGAACUGUUAAAUAUUAUUAUAAAGCAUUAUGUUGAGAGAUCUUCAAGGUAUGAGCCUUGCUCUUCUAAUCUGCAGUCAAAAGAGAUCAGUGAUCCUGGUGGACAUUCACCAAAAAAUUCUCCCGGCAACCUUGAACUUCCCAUAGCUGUCCUCUACAUGCUAAAAUCAUGAUGCAGAGUAGCACCUCAGCUUGUUACUCCUGCUAGAACUCUUUAGUAUAUGUGCUGCCGAAGCAAGCACACCUGCCAGAACUCUUGGUGACAUAUAGGAAGGUGCAACAAUUGAAGGUUUGCUAUUGUUUCCUAUUGUAAAGCCCAACCAACUCCAUUUUUGAAGAAACUCCAUUUUGUGUGAGACCAGGGCCUAAACUCCAAUUCUAGAAAGAAAAUCAGAGUCCUCCUGAGCAAGUAUCCUACAACAUCCCUUCUCCCACCCCCACCCACGUCGCAUUAGCAACAACCAUUGAGGUUAUAAUAGCAGGGCCAAGGUGUGUGUGUGUGUGUGUGUGUGUGUGUGUGUGUGUGUGUGUGUGUGUGUGUAAAUGCAUCCUGCAGAGAAUAGAAAACUUAACCAUCCUGUUUGUCAAGUGAUUUUUGACCCCGUGUUUGGUUCCUACAGAUUAUGCCAGAAAUGAAGUUUUUAAACUAUUAACUUACUGACCCAUAAGGAAAUUCCCCAUGUUUACUGCAACCACAAUAAAAACCCUGAACCCCUAUACUCUGGGCUCUCACUAUGAGCUGCUUCCAUGGUGAGAAUCUGAAAGGCCUUGUUCCUGAGCUCAUAAUGAAGAACCUAUGAGUUUUACAUCGGAAUAGGCUCCUCGGUGGUCUUUAGGUACCUGCAACUAGGGUAUAGCACUAUAUAAGGUUUAUGACUGACUUAAAAAGAAGAAUUGGGAUCUAUACUUAUGCCUAGAUGUAACUGGCUUAAUAUUUAUAUUACAGGUAAUAUUUAUUUGUGGUAAUGUAAGGUGGGUCUUCACUUUGUUCUUUUAUUAACCUUAAAAGCUACCCAUCUUUGUUUCCUGUCCUCAUCUUGUUUUGUAACAUUAAUUGUAAUAAAGGUUUACAACCUAUGAUGUAUCCCUACCUAUGCUGUUCUGCAUGGGUUUGACAGGUGGAGGAUCCUGCUUUUGUAGAACACAAUAAAGGAGAUUCCAAACACAGUCACAAGGUUGAAAGAGUCCCUAGAAAAAAGUAGCACAGCUGACACUGGAAAUGAUAGGAGAAAUCUAAGUAAACAUCAUGGAGCUCUGAAAGAGCUCAACAUAGCUGCCAGGGGUUAAGAGGCAGUGUUCUAUAAGUAUUGCAUGCUAACCAAUUAUGCUACUGGAGCAUCUGCAAGCUGGUAAAACCACUUUGGAACUCAAUCUGGUGGUUCCUCAGAAAAUUGAAAAUAGUUCUACUUGAAUACCCAGUUAUACCACUACUGGGCAUAUACCCAAAAGAUGCUCCAACUUAUAAUAAAGACAAAUGAUCCACUAUGUUUAUAUAAGCCUUAUGUAUAACAGACAGAAACUGGAAACAACCCAGAUUUCCCUCAACAGAAGAAUGAAUACAGAAAAUGUGAUAU
rnacentral:lncRNA from 1 species